UACGGAGGAUGCAAGCGUUAUCCGGAAUGAUUGGGCGUAAAGCGUCCGCAGGUGGCUAUGUAAGUCUGCUGUUAAAGAGUGAGGCUCAACCUCAUAAGAGCAGUGGAAACUACAUAGCUGGAGUGCGUUCGGGGCAGAGGGAGUUCCUGGUGUAGCGGUGAAAUGCGUAGAUAUCAGGAAGAACACCGGUGGCGAAAGCGCUCUGCUAGGCCGUAACUGACACUGAGGGACGAAAGCUAGGGGAGCGAAUGGG
rnacentral:rRNA from 1 species